rnacentral:rRNA from 1 species
UACGUAGGGUGCGAGCGUUAAUCGGAAUUACUGGGCGUAAAGCGUACGCAGGCGGUUGUGCAAGACAGAUGUGAAAUCCCCGGGCUUAACCUGGGAACUGCAUUUGUGACUGCACGGCUAGAGUGUGUCAGAGGGGGGUAGAAUUCCACGUGUAGCAGUGAAAUGCGUAGAUAUGUGGAGGAAUACCGAUGGCGAAGGCAGCCCCCUGGGAUAACACUGACGCUCAUGCACGAAAGCGUGGGGAGCAAACAGG